AGGGCCAGAGGCUGUUGGCUAAGCAUCUCAGCUUCCUCGUCCCUUUGGGGACGGGAGAUGACACAAGGCACUGAUUCCUCGGAAGGCCCCCAGCAGGAUGAAGCCUCAGUUGUCCAUAACAGCACCUGCAAUGUCUCUUCCUUCCCUGCUCCCUUACUGGUGCUUCCUGGGAUCGCCUCCUGAAUAAACUACCUGCUCCCAAAUCCUCCCAAAUGCUAAGCUCUAUAAGCCUCAGUUUUCCCAAUGGUAAAAGGGGGCUGGCAACAUCCACCUCAUAGGGUUGUUAAUGAGUGAGACUAUGUAAUAAUCCUUGCAGUAGAAAAAUCCAGAGGUGCAUCUGCUCUCUCCCUGAGCCCAUGUCUACUAUGUGCUCUAUAGAAUGAGGUGGGUGUUUAUGAAGUCUCAUAAUGUCAUGACCACCAUGGGUUAGUAGCCAGUGCACAAAGGCUAAGGUUUGGAGAAUAUGAGUUAUAUGCUUGCAUCAGUACUUAGGUUCUUACUGGGGCUCCCAUGACAAAUGAAAAAUGGCUACUAUAGAAAAGAAAGGAAAUGGAAGUCUCCAUCUAGGUGAGAAGACAAAUACACUAUUCAUUUGUCAGAAAGAUUUCAGGUCCUUUCAGAAGUAGCAAGGUUGGGCCCUUGGAAGCAACAGAGCGGGCGGUGGAGGGGAAGCCACCAGGCCCUGUGGGUGCACCAAGGAGGGGGUGAAGCCCAAUUAGGAAGGCUAGGGAAGAGCUGAGGAUUUAGGGAUUCCUGUGUAUUCAUAUUUCUUACCAUGCCUCAGAUUGAACAAGUAACACCCACAGUUAAUCCUUUCUAAAUUAGCAUCAUGGAUGCCUUGGGGCCCUCAACCCACAAAUAAAAUGGUUGUCAACCAAGCUGUACAAGAGACACACUACUGUAGAUUACUUAAGGCAGAAUUUUAAAGAGUUUUCAUGCUUUUAAUCUGUUUCACUGCUGAGUUUCAAUUUUGCUGAUAUCCUUUGCAAGUCUGAUGCGGGUGACUGUGGUAAAUAGAGAUUUUGACAGUGACUUGGGCAAAUAGGAUGUGUAGGGACCAUUCUGAAGGCUUCUGUCCCUUCCAGAGAAAAGGGGGAAAAAAUCAAUUUGGGUUUUAAACAGAGCCACCAAGUAGCACCGAUCAGUGUUCAUAAUUAGCCUCACUAUCAUAAGCCAUGAAGUCCUGUUUUUAUUUAUUUAUUUGGGGGACAGAGAAUCUUCCUGCCUCUUGAGUAAGUAUGGCCUGUUAAGUCUGAAUUAGCUGUCAUCAUAGAAGAAUUAAUGUCGGAGUGCAGACUUUCUAGUGGGGAAGGGAAGAACUAAACGAGACAGAUCUUAGCCGAGCCUUGAGUGAUAAAUGAGGACCAAGUGGACCAUUCAUCUCCUGCGAGGAGAGUGGACAGAGGCACUAAGGCAGUUUUGCGGAAGACGUGUCAGCAAAUGUGAUCAUUUUGUUACCUGUCAGGAGGAGAAAGAGCUCGUCCUUUUAGGGGGCCACAAGGUAGUGGGUUGGUCUGAUAUGACAGUUUCCAUUCAACCGUUUAGGUUUGGAGAAGAAGGGGAUGGGUGAGGAGGAAUCUGACUAAAACUACAACCUGAUGUCAUCCUUCCAGGAAAUAAACUCAUCUAGGAAGUAGAAAAGGCUGCAAAUAGCCUGCAAAGAUUUUUUUGUGUGUGAAGAUACAAAGUAGGGGUGUGGGGUCUCUGUUCCGUGGGGAGCCCGGCUUCAUCUCCCCAGCUCCUCCCCAUGGAAGACCCAUGUCCAGUGUUUGGUGACUGGAGUAGGGCAGCAGGCCUUUUGCUGCUUGGUAUUUGGAGGAGGGUUGGAUGGGGUUUGCCGUGGGGUUUUAAGCUGGACAGAUAGCUGGCUAGACUGCCAGCCAGCUCAUGUCUCUAUUUCCGUGCAGCUCUGUGAGAGCGAGCGUGGGCACGGCUGUUUGACCUAGGUUCCCUUUGAAACUCUCAACAAAGCAUUCUGAUGUUCGACCUCUUUUCUCCGAAUGAGGUAACAAAUUAUGAAACAACCUCAUCAGAAGCUCUCUGCAGGCAUCUGGGAGCGUGUGUCUCCACUCUGGUCCCCCUUCUGAGUUGCUGGUUCCCCAUCAGCGUGCAGCCCAGCCAGAACCCAGGGAGGUAGAAUCCCUGGAGGUAAAGGCCCAGCAACAGACGCACAACAGGCACCUUGAGUACAUUGUAUAUUUCUCAUUUCCAUCUUUUUUGCUAUGGAGCAAAUGUAACGUUUCCUCCUAGCGUAACGGAGCGUGAGCCACACUGACAGAUGACGGUUUCACAGCCUAAGCUGCACAUUUGACACUUGUUUCUUAAUCCCAUCCUUUUCUUCCUUAGUCUCUGUUUUACUUUUCCCCAGGUAUUUUUGUGCAGGUAAGUACAUUACUGACAUGCGUUUCCUUGGAGUCUUUUACUUUAACAGGAAACACUGCAAAAAAUGAGGCUUGUCUCGCCUUUUAAAUUAAAAAGAGAAGCUCGCAAGGGGCCCUUGAUCACUUAAAGAGGCUACAUGAUUUUCUGAGCCUAGAAAGCCAUUUGAUUCGCCUUAGCUUUGCAGUAAGCAUUUCUCGGAGGGCAGCGUGACAAUCGUGUGGAGUCUUUUGUUUCCUCGUGGAUCGUUUGUAGAACCAGAAAGCUGCGUGAUGUCUCUUUCGCACGCGUGCGCGCGGACACACACACACACACACACACACACGCUCCCCACCCCCACCUGCAAAGCUGCCGUUUGAUUAGCCAAC
rnacentral:lncRNA from 1 species